rnacentral:rRNA from 1 species
GUAUGAAGCUGGAAUCGCUAGUAAUCGCAGAUCAGAAUGCUGCGGUGAAUACGUUCCCGGGUCUUGUACACACCGCCCGUCACACCAUGGGAGCCAGGAAUGCCCGAAGCCAGUGGCCUAACCGCAAGGGAGGAGCUGUCGAAGGCAGGCCCGGUAACUGGGGUGAAGUCGUAACAAGGUAAC